AAAGCGAUCGCCGAAAAGCUUUUAAGAGAGUAGGCC
rfam:Marine bacterium AO1-C Bin2_contig__12_len_520866_cov_97.2282_ID_23, whole genome shotgun sequence.